rnacentral:lncRNA from 1 species
GGGAGAUGUUGUUUCCGAAUAAAAGAAAACUGAGUAAAUGGGAGUUUUAAGAAACCUGACCAAUGGAGAGUGAAAUAAAAUGUUUCUUCUACUUUUCAGAUUGUUGCUUUCAAGGGGCUGGAGAGAGAAGUUGCAGGGAGAACAGAAACCUCAGAGAGAGCUGGAGCUCCUGCGUCCUGCUCCAGCCUGGGUGACAGAGCACAACCCGAUCUCUCAAAAUAAAUACAUAAUUCUCAAAUGCUGGAGUGCAGCGGCACGAUCUUGGCUCAGUGUAACCUCUGCCUCCCGGAUUCAAGAGACUCCUGCCUCAGCCUCCUGAGUAGCUGGGAUUACAGGCGCCCACCACCACGUCCAGUAGAGAUGGGGUUUCGCCACGUUGGCCAGGUUGGUCCCAAACUCCUGACGUAAAGUAAUCUGCCUACCUUGGCCACCCAACGUGCUGAGAUGACAGGCAUGAGCCACUGCACCCAGCCUGCUUUUUACUGUAUUAAUUGAGUGAGUUGUGUUAUUUAAUUUGCAGGUGUUAAACCAAACUUACUUCUCCAUAAAAAACAAUCUGGCAUGACAUAUUGUUCUUUUUAUGUUUAUUUGAAUUUAAUAACUUUUUGAAUAGAAUUUUAGGUUUCGGUUCAAGACAAAGAGUUGCUUGUGGUUCUUUUUUGUUGUCUGGGUUUUCUUUCUUUCUUCCUUUUUUUUUAACCUGAGUAAUGUUGGCCUCUUAAAUUGAGUUGAAAAUGGUUGCCUCCUUUAAUUUCUAAAAGAGUGUGUGUAAAAUUGAUAUUAUUUCUCAAUUAUAUGUUCCAUACAAUCCAUCAAUGAAGCCUUCUGGACCUGGAGUUUCUUCUAUGUAGUUAGUGUCAGAAGUGGGUCAAAUUCUAGGACUCUCAACUGCUGUUGGUGAAUCAGAAAAUUACUUGGGUGGAGGAAAACCUCAUCACCAUCCUACAGAGAGAAACUUACAGUCACAGUAAGCAAGUAAAACUCUACCUUCUUCAGUCCCAGAGGAAAAGGUAAAAAACAUAAACAUUUGUUUCAUGACCCUAAUUUGCUAAACACAGGUUGCUAACAGCUGUUCAUUGUCCAGAUGUAAAGUGGUCCUACUUCCAAACUAAAAGUUAGUGUUUUUGGGGUUUUUGCGAUGGUCACAAAAAAAAACUAAUAAAUGUUAGAGAUUCUUUCCCCAGAAAUAUUUCCACACACAAGAAAAUAUGGAUAUUAAUAUAAAACCUCAGUGUGCAACCAGAUCCUCUGAGAUCUUACAAAUUUGGGUUUUUUAAUUCUAGUAAGAGACAAUGGCAAGGGAAGACGUGUAAAUAACCAUGCCACUGUCACACAAUGCCACUUCGAUAGCCUAUAGUAUGAACUGGGAUAGACAAACACGUGACAUAACAACUUAUUUUCAUGGUAUUGGGUGGAAAGAUGUUAUUUAUUAUCACUGGUUCAUUCAGACACUCCAAGUGCCUACCAGGUACCAGAUGUACCAGAUAAAGUACUCAUCUUGAAUCAUUGCUCCAAUAAUUAAAAUUUUUUAUUAUUUUUUCACCCUCACGCUCAGCACUUGAACCCUCUUACUACAUCAGAAUUCCACAGUGUUAAUGAAAGGAGUCAAACUCUGUAAAAUAUUUGAAGAGAUUUAUUCUGAGCCAAAUCUAAGUGACCAUGGCCCAUGACACAGCACUCAGGAGACCCAGAGAACAUGUAUUCAAGGUGGUUGGGGUGCAGAUUGGUUUUAUACAAUUUAGGAAGAUAUUAGACAUUAAUCAAAUACAUUUAAGAUAUACAUUGAUUCAGUCCAGAAAGACAGAACUAUUUAUUUAUUUUUUUAUUUUUAUUGCAUUUUAGGUUUUGGGGUACACGUGAAGAACAUGCAAGAUAAUUGCAUAGGUACACACGUGGCAGUGUGAUUUGCUGCCUUCCUCCCAUUCAUCUAUAUCUGGCAUUUCUCCCCAUGCUAUCCCUCCCCAACUCCUCAGCCCCCGCUGUCCCUCCCCUAUUCCCCCCAACAGACCCCAGUGUGUAGUGCUCCCCUCCCUGUGUCCAUGUGUUCUCAUUGUUCGACACCCACCUAUGAGUGAGAACAUGUGGUAUUUCAUUUUCUGUUCUUGUGUCAGUUUGCUGAGAAUGAUGGUCUCUGGGUUCAUCCAUGUCCCUACAAAGGACACGAACUCAUUGUUUUUGAUGGCUGCAUAAUAUUCCAUGGUGUAUGUGUCACAUUUUGCCUGUCCAGUCUAUCAUCAAUGUGCAUUUGGGUUGGUUCCAGGUCUUUGCUAUUGUAAACAGUGCUGCAAUGAACAUUUGUAUGCAUGUGUCCUUAUAGUAGAAUGACGUAUAAUCCUUUGGAUAUAUACCCAGUAAUGGGAUUGCUGGGUCAAAUGGAAUUUCUAUUUCUAGGUCCUUGAGGAAUCGCCACACUGUCUUCCACAAUGGUUGAACUAAUUUACACUCCCACCAACAGUGUAAAAGUGUUCCUGUUUCUCCACAUCCUCUCCAGCAUCUGUUGUCUCUAGAUUUUUUAAUGAUCACCAGUCUAACUGGCGUGAGAUGGUAUCUCAAUGUAGUUUUGAUUUGCAUUUCUCUAAUGGCCAGUGAUGAUGAGCAAUUUUUCAUAUGUUUGUUGGCCUCAUGUAUGUCUUGUUUUGUAAAGUGUCUGUUCAUAUCCUUUGCCCACUUUUGAAUGGGCUUGUUUGUUUUCUUGUAAAUCUCUUUUAGUUCUUUGCAAAUUCUGGAUAUCAGCCCUUUGUCAGAUAGGUAAACUGCAAAAAUUUUUUCCCAUUAUGUUGGUUGCCAAUUCACUCUAAUGGCUGUUUCUUUUGCUGUGCAGAAGCUGUGGAGUUUGAUUAGGUCCCAUUUGUCUAUUUUGGCUUUUGUUGCCAAUGUUUUUGGUGUUUUGGUCAUGAAGUCCUUGCCUAUGCCUAUGUCCUGAAUGGUUUUGCCUAGAUUUUCUUCUAGGGUUUUGAUGGUGUUAGGUCUUAUGUUUAAGUCUUUAAUCCAUCUGGAGUUAAUUUUAGUGUAAGGUGUCAGGAAGGGUCCAGUUUCUGCUUUCUGCACAUGGCUAGCCGGUUUCCCCAACACCAUUUAUUAAACAGGGAAUCCUUUCCCCAUUGCUUGUUUUUGUGAGGUUUGUCAAAGAUCGUAUGGUUGUAGAUAUGUUGUGUUGCCUCUGAUGCCUCUGUUCUGUUCCAUUGGUCUAUAUCUCUGUUUUUGUACCAGUACCAUGCUGUUUUGAUUACUGUAGCCUUGUAGUAUACUUUGAAGUCCAGUAGUGAGAUGCCUCCUGCUGUGUUCUUUUUUGUUUAGAAUUGACUUGCUAUGCGGGAUCUCUUUUGGUUCCAUAUGAAGUUUAAGGUGUUUUUUUCCAGUUCUGUGAAGAAGGUCAUUGGUAGCUUGAUGGGGAUAGUGUUGAAACUGUAAGUUACUUUGGGCAGUAUGGCCAUUUUCACGAUAUUGAUAAGACAGAACAAUUUAAAGCAAGUGGGGGUGGAGGUAGUGCUUCUAGGAUAUAGGUAGAUUUUCAAAUGUUCUGAUUGGCAACUGGUUGAGUUAUUAUCAAUAGAAAGGAAUGUCUGUGUUAUGAUAAGAGGUUGUGGAGUCCAAAAUUUUAUCAUGCAGAUGAGGCUUCCAGGUGGCAGGCUUCAGAGAGAAUAGGUUGGAAAUGUUUCUGAUGAGACUUAAGGUCUAUGCUGAUGGUAAAUGCUGGUCAGCUUUUCCUGAAUUCCAAAAGGGAAGGGGACAUAAUGAGACAUGUUCAACACCUGCUUCCCAUGAUGGCCUGAGCCGGUCUUCCAGGUGAACUGUUGAGUGCCCUGGCUGAGUGUGUCCAUUAAGAUGGUUGGGAGGGGUGGCUUUGAAGUAUAUUUUUCGUUUACAGUAUGUAAAGUGUUGGGAGGAGAUUAAGCACACAAACACACGAGGAGUGAGUUUAGGAGCAGAGGUGUAAUGGGCAAAAGAAAGACAAAGGGGAACAGCUCUCUCUUGCAAGAGAAUUCUGGCCCAGAAUAAGAGUGCCCCAAAUUUUAUAUUCAGCCUUGAGGAGACGGUGUCUGAUUUAUGUAGGCCCCACAGGUUGGUUGGACCAGGUGUGAUAUUUACC